GAUGAACGCUGGCGGCGUGCUUUACACAUGCAAGUCGAACGGUGAAGCUCCAGCUUGCUGGAGUGGAUCAGUGGCGAACGGGUGAGUAACACGUGAGCAACCUGCCCCUGACUCUGGGAUAACAGCCGGAAACGGCUGCUAAUACCGGAUAUGCACCAUGAACGCAUGUUCUGUGGUGGGAAAGAUUUUUCGGUUGGGGAUGGGCUCGCGGCCUAUCAGCUUGUUGGCGAGGUAAUGGCUCACCAAGGCGUCGACGGGUAGCCGGCCUGAGAGGGUGACCGGCCACACUGGGACUGAGACACGGCCCAGACUCCUACGGGAGGCAGCAGUGGGGAAUAUUGCACAAUGGGCGAAAGCCUGAUGCAGCAACGCCGCGUGAGGGAUGACGGCCUUCGGGUUGUAAACCUCUUUUAGCAGGGAAGAAGCGAGAGUGACGGUACCUGCAGAAAAAGCGCCGGCUAACUACGUG
rnacentral:rRNA from 1 species